rnacentral:rRNA from 1 species
CACCAAGCAGCUAGCCCCCCUAAAAACCCCCCCCCCCAACAAUAAAACAUUAAUAACCCUUAAAAUUCUAUAUUUAUCCUAAAUAAAUCAUUCUUUUUCCCCAGUACAGGCGAUAGAAAAGGACCUUGUGAGCAAUAGACUAAGUACCGCGAGGGAAAGCUGAAAUAGAAAUGAAACAACCCAUACAAGCCCUGAAAAGCAGAGACUAACUCUCGUACCUUUUGCAUCAUGAUUUAGCCAGUGUGCCCCAAGCAAAGAGCACUAUAGUUUGAUAGCCCGAAACUAAGUGAGCUACUCCAAGACAACCUAUUAAUUUAGGGAAAACCCGUCUCUGUGGCAAAAGAGUGGGAAGAGCUUUGAGUAGAGGUGACAGAUCUCCCGAACUUAGUUAUAGCUGGUUGCCUGAUAAUUGGAUAAGAGUUCAGCCUCCCGGCUUCUUUACUGCCAGAAUGGCCCCCGUCACAUCAAACAUUAAAAGAAACCGAGAGAGUUACUCAAAGGGGGUACAGCCCCUUUGAGCCAAGACACAACUUUCCCAGCAGGGUAAAGAUCACAUUAGAUACAAGGAAGCACACUUUGGUGGGCCUAAAAGCAGCCACCCCCGUAGAAAGCGUUAAAGCUCCCGUAGCUUACCCCCCCCCCCUAUUAUCCCGAUAACAUAAUCCUAACCCCCUAUUUUUUACCAGGCCGUCCCACGCUAACGUGGGAGUGACCAUGCUAAUAUGAGUAACAAGAGAAGAUCUUAAUGAUUCUCUCCGAAUACACGUGUAACUCGGAUCGGACAACCCCCCGAAUAUUAACGGGCCCAACACCAGAGGGAAGUGAGUUCUACAAUGAAAAACCAGAAAAACACCCAACUACUAACCGUUAACCCAACACAGGUGUAUACCCUCGGAAAGACUAAAAGAAAGAGAAGGAACUCGGCAAACACACUGAACCUCGCCUGUUUACCAAAAACAUCGCCUCUUGAAGUAACAUCAUAAGAGGUCCCGCCUGCCCAGUGACUAUAUGUUUAACGGCCGCGGUAUCUUGACCGUGCAAAGGUAGCGCAAUCACUUGUCUUUUAAAUGAGGACCCGUAUGAAUGGCCUAACGAGGGCUCUACUGUCUCCUCUUUCCAGUCAAUGAAAUUGAUCUCCCCGUGCAGAAGCGGAGAUAUUAACAUAAGACGAGAAGACCCUAUGAAGCUUUAGACAUCAAGACAGACUAUUCUACUUUUUUCCCCCGCUUGAAGGGGUCAAACCCUAUAGCCCCUGUCCUUAAUGUCUUUGGUUGGGGUGACCCUGGAGAAUAAAACAACCUCCAUGUGGAAUGGGGGAACAACAUAUUUUUUGCCCCUACAGCCAAGAGCCCCCGCUCUAAGCAACAGAAAUUUUGACCACAGAUGAUCCGGCAGCGCCGAUCAACGAACCGAGUUACUCUAGGGAUAACAGCGCAAUCCCCUUCUAGAGCCCCUAUCGACAAGGGGGUUUACGACCUCGAUGUUGGAUCAGGACAUCCUAAUGGUGCAGCCGCUAUUAAGGGUUCGUUUGUUCAACGAUUAAAGUCCUACGUGAUCUGAGUUCAGACCGGAGUAAUCCAGGUCAGUUUCUAUCUAUGGCACGCCCUUUUCUAGUACGAAAGGACCGAAAAAGGAGGGCCCCUGCCCUAAGUAAGCCCUGACCCCACCUAAUAAAACCAUUAAAAAAGACAAAGGAGAGUACCCACAAGGCCGAAGAAUACGGCGAU